AGGCUUAGGUAUCUGCCCAGUCGUGGGGGAUAACCAUUGGAAACGAUGGCUAAUACCGCAUACGCCCUACGGGGGAAAGGAGGGGAUCUUCGGACCUUUCGCGAUUGGAUGAGCCCAAGUGAGAUUAGCUAGUUGGUGAGGUAAUGGCUCACCAAGGCAACGAUCUCUAGCUGGUCUGAGAGGAUGACCAGCCACACUGGGACUGAGACACGGCCCAGACUCCUACGGGAGGCAGCAGUGGGGAAUAUUGCACAAUGGGGGAAACCCUGAUGCAGCCAUGCCGCGUGUGUGAAGAAGGCCUUCGGGUUGUAAAGCACUUUCAGUGGUGAGGAAAGGCAGGAGAUUAAUACUCUUCUGCUGUGACGUUAACCACAGAAGAAGCACCGGCUAACUCCGUGCCAGCAGCCGCGGUAAUACGGAGG
rnacentral:rRNA from 1 species